rnacentral:lncRNA from 1 species
CAUCGUUGUCUUUCAAUGUACUUCAACCGCCACUAGUUAUUUUCUCAUAUGACUGUACUGCUCAUUGUUCUGGACCAUAGACUUUGCAGGACAGAAUACUUAGUUUUAAUACCAACUUGAUCCAAUUAAAAAAAAAAAAAUUAUUUUUUAAUUUACUAAAUCAAAACUCUCAAAAAAUAAUAAAGAGUAUUAAAAAUUUUGAAAGCUAGAUUUUAAGUUCUUUACUUGCAUCAAAU